ACGAAGGAUGCAAGCGUUAUCCGGAUUCAUUGGGUUUAAAGGGAGCGUAGGUGGCCUUAUAAGUCAGUGGUGAAAUCUCUCAGCUUAACUGAGAAAUUGCCAUUGAUACUGUAGGGCUUGAGUACAGAUGCCGUUGGCGGAAUAUGACAUGUAGUGGUGAAAUACAUAGAGAUGUCAUAGAACACCGAUUGCGAAGGCAGCUGACGAAACUGUAACUGACACUGAGGCUCGAAAGUGCGGGGAUCAAACAGGA
rnacentral:rRNA from 1 species